UAGCACUUCCCUUACACCGAAGAGGUACCUGCAAACAGGUUAUUCUGA
rnacentral:tRNA from 1 species